rnacentral:sRNA from 1 species
ACCCGCAGCAGACAGCUGGGACCUCGCUGACAGACACGGUAGCCGGCUGGGUUCCUUUAGCACAUCGUACGUACGUCUGUAUGUCUGUAUGUCUGUAUAGAUGUCUGUGUGUAUGUCUAAUUGUGAACCUCCAGAUGUUUACAACGUGGGGGAGAGAAGAAGGGUUUGUGAGAAUCGCGGGAUUUCGUCCCGUCAGGGCUUAGCAGCCGGGCAGGGUCAGAGCAGUUCUCGCAGAGGGCAAGCUAACUUGGCUAAGGGGAGCCAUCGCAUCGACUAGCCCAGAGCUAGCGACGGUGGAGAUGCUCUAAAUGGUGUCGAGCGGCGUUCAAGCGGACAGAAGAUGGUCAGGCACCUCGAGACACAGCGCCGACUCGGUCACGGGCAGCAGCGUCGCGUGGCCACCUCUCCAAUAGCUGGUUGCUCCAUGCUGUUUAUUGAAUGAAUAUUGAAUAGAUAUUGGAGUCCAGGGCAGGCAGAGAGCGAAACUGCUGUGGGGAGUUGGAACUCUACAAAGGCAGCCCCCACACAGCUGAGAUGAAGAAGUUACAGAGAG